rnacentral:rRNA from 1 species
UAAUGUAUGGGGAUCUGCCCGAUAGAGGGGGGUAACUACUGGAAACGGUGGCUAAUACCGCAUAAUGUCUACGGACCAAAGCAGGGGCUCUUCGGACCUUGCACUAUCGGAUGGACCCAUAUGGGAUUAGCUAGUAGGUGGGGUAAAGGCUCACCUAGGCGACGAUCUCUAGCUGGUCUGAGAGGAUGAUCAGCCACACUGGGACUGAGACACGGCCCAG